ACAGGUGCAACAUGGAGGACAAAGAAGAAGAAGAAGAAGAAGAAGAAGAAGAGACACAUGUCACAGGUUUUAUCCAAAUGAUCGUUAUUUGCAGCAAUUCAAGAAAGACAUGGAUGAAAUCUUGUCCUUUUGUGGAGAACUCUAACGCUGGCUAUACAGAGAAAACGCCACUCUAAAAGUGCAGUCACAUCAGUAAGAGGAGUCAGGCUUCAUGUGGCGGAUGGCGGAACAGUUAUCCCCUCCUGCGUAGCAACAGGACGGUUUAAAUGAACGGUCUGGCAGUGCUGUGCAGAUGGAGGCUGGGAAACCUCGUCACACAAUGAGUGAGUCCCUGCUCGGUGCGGUGCUCUGUUAAGGAAAACACCAAGAGCCACACGAUUAGAGGCUUCGCAUCCAUGCUCAUGCGAGGUUAGUCCAGCCUGAUUUCUGAGGUAUCAAAUAUUUAUUACAGUUUAUAGAAGUCAUGCAGCUCAAGCCUGGUUAGUAAAGACUGUAUCACUGAU